CUGCACGGUGCACCCCGGGUAUCUCUGAGAGAUCCAUUGAAGAUGGAAACGCCAAUGCUCGUGCUAGAUUUAGCUGCCAUUCAGUGUUGCAGUUCUGUUGUUUUACUUAAUGCUGAGCUGUGUCAAUUAAAUAAAAAGCCUU